rnacentral:lncRNA from 1 species
CUAAUGAGCAUGGCGUCUUCAGGGAGAAAUCAAUGGAAUGCCAACCACGUGGUGCUUAACAACUAUAACCAAGCAGGUGGCAAGAAUGAAGAAACAUUGCAGGAAAGUGCCUGUUUCGCGCCUCCUCAUCCAAACUGAGUGUCAUUUUGAAAACAGUAUUUGCCUAUACUCAGAGAUACCACCCACAUCGCCUGGGGUCCAGGCGACCAUCUCUUCAGUGAGAUAUUAAGAAAACAUCCGUGAAGGGAGCGCUAGCAAUUGGGAAAAGCACUACAGCAUCUCUCUUCCCAAACCUGGAGGCUGCUGUGGAAGACGCUGGCGUGGAGAGGGGUUCGUCAGAAAGAGCCAACAGGUUAGAUUUCAGUAGAGGGAAUUUAACCUGGGAAUUGAUUCCACCAGUGUUGGAGGGCUCAGUGAGGGUGAGAGGUCAUUCACUGAGGUCAUUCAGAAACAGCUCAGGAAGCAGCUGCCAC